GGCAGAAUAGUGCAAUGAAUUUAAACUUCAUAUAUAAAGAUUUCUUU
rnacentral:tRNA from 1 species